AUUGAACGCUGGCGGCAUGCCUUACACAUGCAAAUCGAACGGUAACGGGCCUUCGGGUGCCGACGAGUGGCGAACGGGUGAGUAAUACAUCGGAACGUGCCCGAUCGUGGGGGAUAACGAGGCGAAAGCUUUGCUAAUACCGCAUACGAUCUACGGAUGAAAGCAGGGGACCGCAAGGCCUUGCGCGGACGGAGCGGCCGAUGGCAGAUUAGGUAGUUGGUGGGAUAAAAGCUUACCAAGCCGACGAUCUGUAGCUGGUCUGAGAGGAUGAUCAGCCACACUGGGACUGAGACACGGCCCAGACUUCUACGGGAGGCAGCAGUGGGGAAUUUUGGACAAUGGGCGCAAGCCUGAUCCAGCCAUGCCGCGUGCAGGAUGAAGGCCUUCGGGUUGUAAACUGAUUUUGUACGGAACGAAAAGCCUUCUUUUAAUACAGGAGGGUCAUGACGGUACCGUAAGAAUAAGCACCGGCUAACUACGUG
rnacentral:rRNA from 1 species